UACGUAGGGUGCAAGCGUUAAUCGGAAUUACUGGGCGUAAAGCGUGCGCAGGCGGCUAUGCAAGACAGAUGUGAAAUCCCCGGGCUCAACCUGGGAAUGGCAUUCGGGACUGCAAGGCUGGAGUGCGGCAGAGGAGACUGGAAUUCCUGGUGUAGCAGUGAAAUGCGUAGAUAUCAGGAGGAAUACCGAUGGCGAAGGCAGGUCUCUGGGCUGACACUGACGCUCAUGCACGAAAGCGUGGGGAGCAAACAGG
rnacentral:rRNA from 1 species